AUUGAACGCUGGCGGCAGGCCUAACACAUGCAAGUCGAGCGGAUGAAUGGAGCUUGCUCCUGGAUUCAGCGGCGGACGGGUGAGUAAUGCCUAGGAAUCUGCCUGGUCGUGGGGGAUAACGUCCGGAAACGGGCGCUAAUACCGCAUACGUCCUGAGGGAGAAAGUGGGGGAUCUUCGGACCUCACGCUAUCAGAUGAGCCUAGGUCGGAUUAGCUAGUUGGUGGGGUAAAGGCAUACCAAGGCGACGAUCCGUAACUGGUCUGAGAGGAUGAUCAGUCACACUGGAACUGAGACACGGUCCAGACUCCUACGGGAGGCAGCAGUGGGGAAUAUUGGACAAUGGGCGAAAGCCUGAUCCAGCCAUGCCGCGUGUGUGAAGAAGGUCUUCGGAUUGUAAAGCACUUUAAGUUGGGAGGAAGGGAAGUAAGUUAAUACCUUGCUGUUUUGACGUUACCAACAGAAUAAGCACCGGCUAACUUCGUG
rnacentral:rRNA from 1 species